UAUGCUGUUAAAAAGCCUCAGAAUGCAGGUUUUCCGAUCUACAAGCUUAUAAAUUGGCACCUGGACUGUGCUGAAUUAGCCAGAGGAAUAGUCCAGCCUCUAAUAGCCCACCAGCUCAUCUCCUCUGGCCAUACUUCUCAUUCACAUCUGAACACAGGUGUUGUGAAACCUACCACUGAAUCUAAGCCAAGUGGCAAAGGAAAAGACUCACAUCAACACUGUCAUCAUUGGACACGUAGCUCAGCCAUAUUGUUCACAAUAUCAAGAAGCAGAUGCAACCCAAGUGUCCAUCAAAAGAUAAAAAGAUAAUUAAAGUGUGGUGUACACCUACACUGGAAUACUAUCCAGCCUUAAAAAGGAAGGAAAUUCUAUACAUACUACAACGUGGAUGAACCUUGAAGAUAUUCUAAGUCCGACAUAAGAGGAUAAAUGCUGUGUGAUCACAAUUAUAUGAGGGACUGAGAUGAUCACAAUGGUGUGAUCACUCACCUAGAGCCAGACAUCCUGGAAUGUGAAGUCAAGUGGGCCUUAGAAAGCAUCACUACGAACAAAGCUAGUGGAGGUGAUGGAAUUCCAGCUGAGCUAUUUCAAAUCCUGAAAGAUGAUGCCGUGAAAGUGGUACACUCAAUAUGCCAGCAAAUCUGGAAAACUCAGCAGUGGCCACAGGACUGGAAAAGGUCAGUUUUCAUUCCAAUCCCAAAAAAAGGCAAUGACAAAGAAUGCUCAAACUACCACACAAUUGCGCU